GCAAGUCGAGCGAGAAAUUUUUAAACAAAUCUUCGGAAGCGUUUAAAGAUGGACAGCGGCGGACGGGUGAGUAACGCGUAGGCAACCUACCCCAUACAGAGGGAUAGCCUCGGGAAACCGUGAUUAAUACCUCAUAACACUUUAGUAUUGCAUGAUACUAAGGUCAAAGAUUUAUCGGUAUGGGAUGGGCCUGCGUCUGAUUAGCUAGUUGGUAGGGUAAUGGCUUACCAAGGCGACGAUCAGUAGCCGACCUGAGAGGGUGAUC
rnacentral:rRNA from 1 species